AUGAAAUUCCUUCUGCAGCUGAUUAGUACUCCUAGAAGAUCCCCUUUGGUUGAGGAGGUGGAUGGAAGUCAUCUCCCCAUGGAUCUGCUGGAUAAAGGACGGCGACGUCUUUCAGGGCAGUGGAAGAGCCGCCGCCGGCAUCCUUUAGGGCAGACGUGCGGAACAGUCAGAAACAGGCAGGCGUGGAUGGACGACGGGAGAGCUCGGCCCAGUUGUCUGCAAAAUGGAUGCACCCUGGUGGUCAAAGAGUAUUUGAUGGAGAACAAUGAUUUCAUGGCCAUCGGAAUAAUUGGUCCACCUGGUUUGGCAUGUCAACCACCAUGA
rnacentral:rRNA from 1 species